GUGGGGUACGGAGAUAUUUAUCCCACAACGCCGCUGGGCAAAGUCAUAGGAAGCGUGUGCUGUAUUUGCGGGGUGCUGGUGAUUGCGUUACCCAUUCCUAUAAUUGUUAACAAU
rfam:Dendroctonus ponderosae Seq01030022, whole genome shotgun sequence.